rnacentral:rRNA from 1 species
UGGGGAAUAUUGCACAAUGUGGGAAACCCUGAUGCAGCGACGCCGCGUGAGCGAAGAAGGCUUUCGAGUCGUAAAGCUCUGUCCUAUUAGAAGAUAAUGACGGUAUCAUAGGAGGAAGCCCUGGCUAAAUACGUGCCAGCAGCCGCGGUAAUACGUAUGGGGCGAGCGUUGUCCGGAAUUAUUGGGCGUAAAGGGUACGUAGGCGGUUUUUUAAGUCAGGUGUCAAAGCGUGGAGCUUAACUCCAUUAAGCACUUGAAACUGAAAGACUUGAGUGAAGGAGAGGAAAGUGGAAUUCCUAGUGUAGCGGUGAAAUGCGUAGAUAUUAGGAGGAAUACCGGUGGCGAAGGCGACUUUCUGGACUUUUACUGACGCUCAGGUACGAAAGCGUGGGGAGCAAACAGG